rnacentral:rRNA from 1 species
AUACGGAGGAUGCGAGCGUUAUCCGGAUUUAUUGGGUUUAAAGGGUGCGUAGGCCGAAAUAUAAGUCAGCGGUGAAACGCCGGAGCUCAACUCCGGCCCUGCCGUUGAAACUGUAUUUCUUGAGUAAAUUCGAGGUAAGCGGCAUUCGUAGUGUAGCGGUGAAAUGCAUAGAUAUUACGAGGAACUCCGAUAGCGCAGGCAGCUAACCAGACUUUAACUGACGCUGAGGCACGAAAGUGUGGGUAUCAAACAGGAUUAGAUACCCUGGUAGUCCACACAGUAAACGAUGAUGACUCGCUGUUUGCGAUACACAGUAAGCGGCCAAGCGAAAGCGGUAAGUAAUCCGCCUGGGGAGUACGCCGGCAACGGUGAAACUCAAAUGAAUUGGCGGGG